rnacentral:lncRNA from 1 species
AUUUUUAUUGUGGAAUGUAGAUAACAUCUUUUGUGAUUCACUGAGGAACUUUCGAAAGACAGUGCCCCCUGUCCUAGGUGUUGCAACACAGUUUCAUGCAUGGUGGCAUAUUCUAACUGGCCUGGGCUCUUAUCUCCACAUCCUUUUCAGUUUAUAUACAAGAACACUUUACCUGAGGUACAGGCCAAAAGUGAAGUUUCUCUUUGGAAUCUGGCCCAUGGUCAUGUUUGAACCUCAGAGGAAGCACUGAUGAAUUAAUUAUUCUACCAAGAAAACAAAAAGCACUUACUGUAUGUAGUUCUGGCAAGAUGGUCAAGACAUCUCCAAAGACUUGUGCAUUUGAAGACACCAUGCCCAUCACAAGAGAUGAAUGACUCAGUCACAGAGAAUGGGAGAUUGGUCUGUUGGGUGAUUAGCUCCUGGCUUUAUCUCGUUUGUCCUGGACCUAAGAUGCUUAGAGAGAAACAGAUAGUGUAUAUUUAUAUUCUGGAAUGGUGGAGAAGUUGGACUUUUCUUAACAGGUUAACAGUUUGUGCUGGUCAUUCAUGGAAAAUUAAUAUUUUUUCUUUUCUUUUUUCUAUUUUUUAUGAGUUGCAUGUUAAUUGUACCUUUAUUAAUUUUUGAUUAAAUAUUGAACAGAGUCAUUAAGUACUGGCAAGAUCCCAUAUCCAGAUGGUCGACUGUGAGCCAGCACUUAGCCGUGUCAGCUUUGACUCACAUUAUCACAUUAACUUCGCACAUGACUUUCCAGUAAUAAAAGAUAAGGUGUGGGACUCAAGGUAGCUCCUCGCUAUCUGCCUUGGUGCUAGCUGGAGUCUUGUAAGCAAACUCCGACCUGCCAGUGAGUAGGCUCUGUUCUCAUCACAUCCAAGAAUUUGUCUUGGGCUCUGUGGCCCACAGGCAGUCGAAGGGAUGGGCCAUCUAACACCCCUUCAGAAGUUUUCCCACAGCACCUGUGGAGCAUAGCCCUCUCACCAGUUAAAGGCUGCUGGUUUGCUUUCUUUAAUCUUCAACUUAUUAUUAUUAUUGUGUCUAGCAAAUUGAACUGGUAAUCUUAUGACAGCACAGUUUAAUUGACUUUAUCAGGGAAAGUUGUAUGUUUUUUUACUUUUUGCAUUAUGCAGUAUGCAUAGUGAAGCAAAUAGUUCUACUUUGGAUUUGAGUGCAUAUGAAAUUGAAUUGAUUGUCACCAACAGUAAAUGAAAGAUCACAUGUU